CCCUCCCUCUCUCCUUCUCUCUCUCUCUGGCUCCGUGUCGCUCUUUCCUCCAGCCGGCCCCCUUGAGCCCUUGUCGGGUUAUGGCAGCGCUGGGAGCCUUGGUGAAGAAAGUGUGGAAUAUCCGCCGCUACUUGGUGCUUCUUUGCGCCCCGCUGGUGCUGCUGCCCAUCUUCUUCAGCCUGCCCCCCAAGGAAGGAAAAUGUCUCUAUGUCAUUCUGUUGAUGGCCAUGUACUGGUGUACCGAAGCCCUGCCAUUAUCUGUGACUGCCCUCCUUCCCAUUGUUCUCUUUCCCUUCCUUGGGGUCCUUCCAGCAAGCAAGGUUUGUCCUCAGUACUUUUUAGACACCAAUUUCCUCUUCUUGAGUGGCCUAAUCAUGGCAGCCGCCAUUGAAGAGUGGAAUCUGCAUCGCAGGAUCGCACUGAGAAUCCUUAUGUUUGUGGGAGUCCAGCCAGCAAGGCUUAUUCUAGGAAUGAUGCUGACAACCUCAUUCCUUUCUAUGUGGCUGAGUAACACAGCCUCUACAGCAAUGAUGUUACCUAUUGCAAUGGCUGUUCUGAAGAAUCUCUUUGGAGAGAAAGAAGCAUCCCGGGAUCUCAGCAGGGAAAAAGAGGAAAACAAAGCUUCUGUGCAACAGAAUAAACUUCAUAUGGUGCCAACUGAUAUGCAACUUCUAGCAAAUGUUGAUGAGAAAGACUUGACUGAAGAGAAAGAAGUCACAAUUGAAGUAUCCUCAGACACAAAGAAGGAGGAAGAAUAUAAGACAAAUGUGUGGAAAGGAUUCCUCAUUUCAAUUCCUUACGCUGCCAGUAUUGGUGGAACAGCAACACUAACUGGAACUGCACCCAAUCUCAUUCUCUUAGGACAGCUAAAGAGCUUUUUUCCAGGAUGUGAUGUUGUGAAUUUUGGAUCUUGGUUCGUGUUUGCAUGUCCUUUGAUGGUGCUCUUUCUUUUUGUUGGCUGGCUCUGGAUCUCCUUCCUUUAUGGAUGCAUUAGCUUAAGCUGGAGAAAGAAGAAACCGGAAAUCAGAGCUGAUGCAGAAGCCAGAGCCAAGGCAGUAAUAACAGAGGACUAUCGGAAACUGGGACCAAUAAAGUUUGCUGAACAGGCAGUAUUUGUUCUUUUCUGCUUAUUUGCCAUCCUGCUAUUCUCCAGGGACCCUAAAUUCAUUACAGGCUGGGCAAGUUUAUUCACUCCAGGGUUUGUGACGGAUGCUGUUACUGGGGUGUCAAUUGUGACAGUGUUGUUCUUUUUCCCAUCAAAAAGGCCGUCUCUUAAAUGGUGGUUUGACCUCAAAGCCCCAAACACUGAGAAUGAACCCUUGUUGUCCUGGAGGAAAGCCCAAGAAUGUGUACCUUGGAAUAUAAUCCUGUUGCUUGGAGGGGGUUUUGCUAUGGCCAAGGGAUGUGAGGAGUCUGGCUUAUCUGUCUGGAUUGGUGGUCGCCUUGACCCACUGGAGAACCUUCCUCCCCCUAUUGCUGUUAUUCUUAUCACAAUCGUGAUUGCCAUGUUCACAGAAUUCGCAAGUAACACAGCCACCAUCAUCAUCUUUUUGCCUGUCUUGGCAGAACUGGCUAUUCGUCUGAAAGUUAAUCCCCUCUACUUAAUGAUACCAGGAACUAUAGGAUGCUCAUUUGCUUUCAUGCUUCCAGUCUCCACUCCACCAAAUUCAAUUGCCUUUGCUUCAGGACACUUGAUGGUGAAAGAUAUGGCAAGAACUGGCCUGCUGAUGAAUUUGAUGGGAGUUUUACUUCUGAGCCUUGCUAUCAACACAUGGGGCAUGAGCAUCUUUCAGAUGGGGACCUACCCUGCUUGGGCGAACAUCCAUGCUGAAAAUACAACUGAUCUGCUGAUAGAUGUGCAAAACAUCACCUUGAACUCAUUAUGAGUAAAUUAAGAAUAUAACAACCUUGUUUGGCAAAGAGAGGACAACUUCCUGGAAAUCUGAGCACUGAAUUAGAUCGAUAUAAAGUACAAUUAUGCACAGUUAUGGCAAUGUUGAUACCCAACAGCAUAUGACCAUUCUUUUUUGCUUGACUUGUAUACAUACUGGUGAACGCUCACUGGAUAAUAAUCAUUUUGUGUCUCCGAAGGCUUUGUGUAGACACCCAUCAAUCAUUUCUGGGAUCUGCUCCUGGAGUGUGCCUGAAAUAUACAGCCAUUAAACACAUCUCUGUUUCCCUUUCUCUUUACUCAUAGUUUCAAUUGCUAUGAAAACAGCAUUAAAAUUGUAUCACUGAUGCAAAUGUAGCCAGAGCUAUGUAAUGUGAAAAGCCGUUUGAAUGGCUGUGACAACUAAAGAUACAAUGUACUCGUUACCCUUAUUUGCACUGUGUUGUGUCCUAUACGUAUAUGUGAGUCACAGGCAAAGGGUGGCACUUGAGUUUCCUCUCUUGCACAUAUUGUCAUUGCACAAGUAGAGUGAUUCACUAGUUUCCAUGCAAUGAACUGGAAGACGUGAAGGAAGUCUCCCUGAAAAUGAAGACUGUGAACACAUUUGAAUAUCCCCUGGGCAACAACAGUGCUCUUCGCCUGAUCCUUCUGUUCUGGAAGCACUACUGAAUUGCUUCCAACAUGAAUGAAAAAGACACAAUAAAACAAGAAGCAGUUGUGUUGAAUGGAAAUAUAUCCCCAGUGAUCAACUUAGGUUCCCAUUCUGUGGAGAUAUGAUGGGCACAAGGACUAUAAAACCUCUGGAUAAACAUGGACUUCGGCUGAUUGCUCAGAAAACCAUGGAGAUUCUUGGAUUAGGGUGACAGU